rnacentral:rRNA from 1 species
CCUACGGGAGGCAGCAGUGAGGAAUAUUGCACAAUGGGGGAAACCCUUAUGCAGCGACGCCGCGUGAGUGAAGAAGUAAUUCGUUACGUAAAGCUCUAUCAGCAUGGAAGAAAAUGACGCUACCUGAGUAAGAAGCCCCUGCUAACUACGUGCCAGCAGACGCGUUAAUACGUAGGGUGCAAGCGUUAUCCGGAUGUACUGGGUGUAAAGGGAGCGUAGACGGUGCGCCAAGUCUGGAGUGAAAUGCCGAAUCUUAACUGCGGAACUGCUUUGGAAGCUGGCGAAAUAGCGUGCGGGAGGGGUAAGCGGAAUGCCUAGUGUAGCGGUGAAAUGCGUAGAUAGUAGGAGGAACACCGGUGGCGAAGGCGGCUUAAUG